rnacentral:misc_RNA from 1 species
GAAAUGCGAUAAGUAGUGUGAAUUGCAGAAUUCAGUGAAUUAUUGAAUCUUUGAACGCACAUUGCGCCCUUUGGUAUUCCUUAGGGCAUGCCUGUUCAAGCGUCAUUUAAACCUUCAAGCCCUGCUUGGUGUUGGGUGCCUGUCCCGCCCCUGCGCGUGGACUUACCUCAAAUCUAUUGGCGGCCCCUACGUCGGCUACGAGCGCAGCAGAAACGCGAACUCGUGGGCCCAACAGGGCGGCUCCCAGAAGCCACAUUCACCAUUUUGACCUUAGAUUAGGUAGGGAUACCCGCUGAACUUAA